rnacentral:tRNA from 1 species
GGUGGGAUACCCAAGUGGCUAAAGGGAACAGACUGUAAAUCUGCUGUCAUUGACUUCGAAGGUUCAAAUCCUUCUCCCACCACAA